rnacentral:tRNA from 1 species
GCGCCUGUGGAGGAGUCCGGUCGUCCUCAUCGCCCUGUCAAGGCGAAGAUCGCGGGAUCGAAGCCCGUCAGGCGCGCCA